UACGUAGGGUGCAGGCGUUAAUCGGAAUUACUGGGCGUAAAGCGUGCGCAGGCGGUGAUGUAAGACAGGUGUGAAAUCCCCGGGCUUAACCUGGGAACUGCAUUUGUGACUGCAUCGCUGGAGUGCGGCAGAGGGGGAUGGAAUUCCGCGUGUAGCAGUGAAAUGCGUAGAUAUGCGGAGGAACACCGAUGGCGAAGGCAAUCCCCUGGGCCUGCACUGACGCUCAUGCACGAAAGCGUGGGAAGCAAACAGG
rnacentral:rRNA from 1 species